rnacentral:sRNA from 1 species
GGUUCGGUAGCUGGCUCAACUUGGCCUU